AGUAACACGUAAGCAACCUGCCUAUCAGAGGGGAACGAACAGUUAGAAAUGACUGCUAAUACCGCAUAUGCCUUAGUAACACAUGUUACAAAAGGGAAAGAAGCAAUUCGCUGAUAGAUGGGCUUGCGUCUGAUUAGAUAGUUGGUGGGGUAACGGCCUACCAAGUCGACGAUCAGUAGCCGGACUGAGAGGUUGAACGGCCACAUUGGGACUGAGAUACGGCCCAGACUCCUACGGGAGGCAGCAG
rnacentral:rRNA from 1 species